UACGUAGGGUGCAAGCGUUAAUCGGAAUUACUGGGCGUAAAGCGUGCGCAGGCGGCUUUGCAAGACAGAUGUGAAAAUCCCCCGGGCUUAACCUGGGAACUGCAUUUGUGACUGCAUGGCUGGAGUGCGGCAGAGGGGGGAUGGAAUUCCGCGUGUAGCAGUGAAAUGCGUAGAUAUGCGGAGGAACACCGAUGGCGAAGGCAAUCCCCUGGGCCUGCAC
rnacentral:rRNA from 1 species